rnacentral:lncRNA from 1 species
UCCUAAAUAAAUCCUAAAUAAUCUCAAGUAAUUCCUAUAGUAGUUUAAACCUCAAUAAUUAAUGAAUGAACUAUUGAUUUUAACUCAAAAUUUGUACACCUCUUAACAAUUAAGUUGAAAGCAAGCACAAAUUUUUUGAAGAAGAUCAAAUUCACCAAAAAGAAGAUCGACCUUAAUAUUUGCUUAGAUGUUGCCCAACCUCCUUCCCCAAUCUGAAUGUUGAAUUUUGAGCACUAAUAUCUCCUUGUCAAAUCAUUCAAUUGACAUUAAAUUUCUCAAAUAAUAAGGAAAAUAAGUCUAUUAUCCACACAUAUAAUUUUCAUUUCAAUCCAACUGAUAGAUUGCAAGAAAUCUUAGAAAUCUUCACUAGAUCUAAAACUCUACUUUCCGAGACUCCAAUCCACUUAAACCUCAAUAAUCCUCAAU